rnacentral:rRNA from 1 species
CAGCAGCCACGGGAAAACAGAGGGUGCAAGCGUUAAUCGGAUUUACUGGGCGUAAAGGGCGCGUAGGUGGUUAUUUAAGUGAGAUGUGAAAGCCCCGGGCUUAACCUGGGAACUGCAUCUUAUACUGGGUAACUGGAGUGCAGUAGAGGGUAGUGGAAUUUCCGGUGUAGCGGUGAAAUGCGUAGAUAUCGGAAGGAACACCAGUGGCGAAGGCGGCUACCUGGACUGAGACUGACACUGAGGCGCGAGAGCGUGGGGAGCAAACAGGAUUAGAGACCCCCGUAGUCCCUGUCUCUUAUAC